rnacentral:rRNA from 1 species
AUGCAGUCGAGCGGAACGACUUUAUCUGAACCUUCGGGGAACGUUAACGGCGUCGUAGCGGCGGACGGGUGAGUAAUGCCUAGGAAAUUGCCUUGAUGUGGGGGAUAACCAUUGGAAACGAUGGCUAAUACCGCAUAAUGCCUACGGGCCAAAGAGGGGGACCUUCGGGCCUCUCGCGUCAAGAUAUGCCUAGGUGGGAUUAGCUAGUUGGUGAGGUAAUGGCUCACCAAGGCGACGAUCCCUAGCUGGUCUGAGAGGAUGAUCAGCCACACUGGAACUGAGACACGGUCCAGACUCCUACGGGAGGCAGCAGUGGGGAAUAUUGCACAAUGGGCGAAAGCCUGAUGCAGCCAUGCCGCGUGUAUGAAGAAGGCCUUCGGGUUGUAAAGUACUUUCAGUUGUGAGGAAGGGGGUGUCGUUAAUAGCGGCAUCUCUUGACGUUAGCAACAGAAGAAGCACCGGCUAACUCCGUGCCAGCAGCCGCGGUAAUACGGAGGGUGCGAGCGUUAAUCGGAAUUACUGGGCGUAAAGCGCAUGCAGGUGGUUCAUUAAGUCAGAUGUGAAAGCCCGGGGCUCAACCUCGGAACUGCAUUUGAAACUGGUGAACUAGAGUACUGUAGAGGGGGGUAG